AUUGAACGCUGGCGGCAGGCCUAACACAUGCAAGUCGAACGGCAGCACAGAAGAGCUUGCUCUUUGGGUGGCGAGUGGCGGACGGGUGAGUAAUGUCUGGGAAACUGCCCGAUGGAGGGGGAUAACUACUGGAAACGGUAGCUAAUACCGCAUAACGUCGCAAGACCAAAGUGGGGGACCUUCGGGCCUCACACCAUCGGAUGUGCCCAGAUGGGAUUAGCUAGUAGGUGGGGUAAUGGCUCACCUAGGCGACGAUCCCUAGCUGGUCUGAGAGGAUGACCAGCCACACUGGAACUGAGACACGGUCCAGACUCCUACGGGAGGCAGCAGUGGGGAAUAUUGCACAAUGGGCGCAAGCCUGAUGCAGCCAUGCCGCGUGUAUGAAGAAGGCCUUCGGGUUGUAAAGUACUUUCAGCGGGGAGGAAGGCGGUGAGGUUAAUAACCUUGCCGAUUGACGUUACCCGCAGAAGAAGCACCGGCUAACUCCGUGCCAGCAGCCGCGGUAAUACGGAGGGUGCAAGCGUUAAUCGGAAUUACUGGGCGUAAAGCGCACGCAGGCGGUCUGUUAAGUCAGAUGUGAAAUCCCCGGGCUUAACCUGGGAACUGCAUUUGAAACUGGCAGGCUUGAGUCUCGUAGAGGGGGGUAGAAUUCCAGGUGUAGCGGUGAAAUGCGUAGAGAUCUGGAGGAAUACCGGUGGCGAAGGCGGCCCCCUGGACGAAGACUGACGCUCAGGUGCGAAAGCGUGGGGAGCAAACAGGAUUAGAUACCCUGGUAGUCCACGCCGUAAACGAUGUCGACUUGGAGGUUGUGCCCUUGAGGCGUGGCUUCCGGAGCUAACGCGUUAAGUCGACCGCCUGGGGAGUACGGCCGCAAGGUUAAAACUCAAAUGAAUUGACGGGGGCCCGCACAAGCGGUGGAGCAUGUGGUUUAAUUCGAUGCAACGCGAAGAACCUUACCUGGCCUUGACAUCCAGAGAACUUAGCAGAGAUGCUUUGGUGCCUUCGGGAACUCUGAGACAGGUGCUGCAUGGCUGUCGUCAGCUCGUGUUGUGAAAUGUUGGGUUAAGUCCCGCAACGAGCGCAACCCUUAUCCUUUGUUGCCAGCGGUUCGGCCGGGAACUCAAAGGAGACUGCCGGUGAUAAACCGGAGGAAGGUGGGGAUGACGUCAAGUCAUCAUGGCCCUUACGGCCAGGGCUACACACGUGCUACAAUGGCGCAUACAAAGAGAAGCGACCUCGCGAGAGCAAGCGGACCUCAUAAAGUGCGUCGUAGUCCGGAUUGGAGUCUGCAACUCGACUCCAUGAAGUCGGAAUCGCUAGUAAUCGUAGAUCAGAAUGCUACGGUGAAUACGUUCCCGGGCCUUGUACACACCGCCCGUCACACCAUGGGAGUGGGUUGCAAAAGAAGUAGGUAGCUUAACCUUCGGGAGGGCGCUUACCACUUUGUGAUUCAUGACUGGGGUG
rnacentral:rRNA from 5 species